AUUAAAUUACAAGAACUUUAUUCAGAUUAAUUUUAUUAGCAGAACUCAGAUAAUUUAGCACUUUGAAUAGAAAAGAAGGUUUAUACAAGUCAUGAUAUAUGUGACUUAGUGAACCUCCUAUUGGAUUUCUUGUAUUUCUCUCUAGUGCUCCAAUGCACACCAUAAAAAAAGAUCAACCUGUUCCCCAGAGAGUUUUCAGAGAGAGGUCUGUUUCUAGCUACCAUAUCUGUGCCCUGCUACAGAAUACAGGUCAGGGAAAAGGAUGUGGUGAUAUUGGCUUCCCGAAGAGAAGAGAACCCCUGUCACAAGACAGAUUACUUUGCAGGAGAGUUAAGAAGAAUACUGGAGAUAACAUGGACUAA
rnacentral:lncRNA from 1 species